UUUCCGUAGGUGAACCUGCGGAAGGAUCAUUAUUGAAUAACCGAGGUGCAAGGGCUGUCGCUGACCCGAACGGUCGUUCACUCCCGAGUGCCCUCACACACAUCCACCUCCCCCCUAUGUGCCCCACCGCGGGGGUCCCCCUUUGGCUUUUUCGUCAGGAGUCUCACGUUUUCACACAAACAUUUUAUUCAGAGUAUAAUGUAAUUUUUCUUUUUGCGCUGACGCAGUCAAUACACCUUUCAACAACGGAUCUCUCGGCUCUGGCCUCCAUGCAGAACG
rnacentral:misc_RNA from 1 species